GAAGGCUGUUGGUAAGAGCUGGUCAAACUGUGGGAAACAACUUUUGUUGUUGUUGUUACUUAAUUUAGUUUGGCUGUUUUUAAGUUAAAAGGAGUGGAAAUGUCAGUGUUAAUACAAGAAAAGUGGACCAGCCGACAGCUGCAACCUCCACGUCUUUCCCAUUCUGAUGAACCGGAUCCCCACAAGGAGGCUCUAAGGCUGGUCAGUCCAGAAGUACUGGAACAAGCUUCUGUGGGAGGAACACGCUGUUCACCUGUUCUGUCGCACCUGGAACCUGGACGAGCCCCCAGGAGGAGUGCACCCAGCAGAGACAUUAUACUUCCACUGAUGCAAAAUAAAGACACAUAGACUUUUAGCACUCCAUCCCAUUACUGACGGACAUUAAACUCAU